GGGGAUAUAGCUCAGUUGGUAGAGUGCUUGUCUACAUGCAGAAGGCCCUGGGUUCAAUCCCCACUACCAUCA
rnacentral:tRNA from 1 species